rnacentral:lncRNA from 1 species
AUGGGAUGUAUGGAUUAGUCUAAGGAGUUUUUUAGGCUCAAAUUGUUGAACCUAUUGUAAUUGGUAUAUAUACAGAUUAUUGUAAUACCAAGGAUGAGGAGAAAAAAUAUAGAGCAUUUUCUCUUGAAACCCUAGUUGCCUCUCUCUCUCACGUCCCUAGUCUCCACUUAGGGUUUCAUGUCAAGAAAAUAUGCCAUCCAAUUUAAGCUUCCAUGUUCUCCUUGUUCCCUUCUUCAGAUUUUCUGGAUUAACAUCCAAGUUCCAUGCAAGACAUCGGUCCACG